rnacentral:lncRNA from 1 species
UUUGAGGGGAAAAGAUACCCUCUUCCAGUGUAGUGUUCGACGCCGAAGAAGAGAAAGUGAUCAAUAUCGAAGAAAGGUAAAGUGGCAUAAAUUAUAUUGUGGUUUCACUCUUUUCACAUUUAUGUAGUCCGUACUUGUAUUUGAGGAUAUAUACCUGACUAUAUGGAGCAUUGCAGGCUUGCUUCAGGAGCUCCUGUUUUCAUCCACUAAUUAGAGACUCGGCUGUUUUGGUGCCAACGCAAUGAGUUGGGGGCGUGGUCCGUUUUGGUUUCACUGUCAACUUUUUGGUUUCUGACCUUCUCUUUUUGGGUGUGCGGUCCCUUUUUCUUUUUGUUUCGCUGUCAAUACGUGUGCAAGAAACAACCUUAAGUCCUUGGGGCCGGUUUAGUAGCUAUGACUCCGCUGUUGGCGGUUGUUAGAAAAUGCAAGUGUAUCAGUAAUUUCCUCUCAAAAUAAUAAUGAUAAUGCUGUAGUACUAAGUUUGCUUUGAGGGGAAGUGUACUCUUUGAUCGUAUAGUUACUCCUAAUAAGUGGAGUGGGAGAAGGGUGUAUAUACAGUGCAAUGCAUGAUGAGAUUCAGAUCUCACGGCCAGCCGCGCU